UACGAAGGGGGCUAGCGUUGCUCGGAAUCACUGGGCGUAAAGGGCGCGUAGGCGGCCAUUCAAGUCGGAGGUGAAAGCCCAGGGCUCAACCCUGGAAUUGCCUUCGAUACUGUUUGGCUAGAGACCGGAAGAGGUAAGUGGAACUGCGAGUGUAGAGGUGAAAUUCGUAGAUAUUCGCAAGAACACCAGUGGCGAAGGCGGCUUACUGGUCCGGUUCUGACGCUGAGUGAGCGAAAGCCAGGGGAGCAAACGGG
rnacentral:rRNA from 1 species